rnacentral:rRNA from 1 species
GAUGAACGCUGGCGGCGUGCUUAACACAUGCAAGUCGAACGGUGAAGCAGAGCUUGCUCUGUGGAUCAGUGGCGGACGGGUGAGUAACACGUGAGCAACCUGCCCCUGACUCUGGGAUAAGCGCUGGAAACGGCGUCUAAUACUGGAUAUGAGCUGCGACCGCAUGGUCAGCAGUUGGAAAGAUUUUUCGGUCUGGGAUGGGCUCACGGCCUAUCAGCUUGUUGGUGAGGUAAUGGCUCACCAAGGCGUCGACGGGUAGCCGGCCUGAGAGGGUGACCGGCCACACUGGGACUGAGACACGGCCCAGACUCCUACGGGAGGCAGCAGUGGGGAAUAUUGCACAAUGGGCGAAAGCCUGAUGCAGCAACGCCGCGUGAGGGAUGACGGCCUUCGGGUUGUAAACCUCUUUUAGCAGGGAAGAAGCGAAAGUGACGGUACCUGCAGAAAAAGCGCCGGCUAACUACGUG